rnacentral:ncRNA from 1 species
UUUGACUCAACAUGAGGAAACUUACCAGGUCUAGACAUAGUAUGGAUUGACAGAUUGAGAGCUCUUUUUUGAUUCUGAUGGGUGCAUGGCCGUUCUUAGUUGGUGGAGCGAUUUGUCUAUUACAUAUUUCAGGCAAUAUAAUCUGUGUUCCUCAUUUAUUUUGCUUUCUAGUCAGCAGUAUUGAGUCAAAGGUAUCUAGAAACCCAAUAGAUCUUUAAGUUCGGAAUCAUUCCAAACUCCCAAGAGCCUGGCAGUCGCCUUGUAAUGUCUGUU